rnacentral:rRNA from 1 species
UGGGGAAUAUUGGACAAUGGGCGAAAGCCUGAUCCAGCAAUGCCGCGUGAGUGAUGAAGGCCUUAGGGUUGUAAAGCUCUUUUACCCGGGAUGAUAAUGACAGUACCGGAGAAUAAGCUCGCUAACUUCGUGCCAGCAGCCGCGGUAAUACGAGGGGAGCUAGCGUUGUUCGGAAUUACUGGGCGUAAAGCGCGCGUAGGCGGUUUUUUAAGUCAGAGGUGAAAGCCCCGGGGCUCAACCCCGGAAGUAAGCCUUUGCAAAUCAUGGAAAACUAGAAAUCUUGGAGAGGUCAGUGGAAUUCCGAGUGUAGAGGUGAAAUUCGUAGAUAUUCGGAAGAACACCAGUGGCGAAGGCGACUGACUGGACAAGUAUUGACGCUGAGGUGCGAAAGCGUGGGGGGCAAACAGGAUUAGAUACCCUGGUAGUCCACGCCGUAAACGAUGAUAACUAGCUGUCCGGGCUCAUAGAGCUUGGGUGGCGCAGCUAACGCAUUAAGUUAUCCGCCUGGGGAGUACGGUCGCAAGAUUAAAACUCAAAUGAAUUGACGGGGUCAUAGCUGUUU